rnacentral:rRNA from 1 species
GACGAACGCUGGCGGCGUGCCUAAUACAUGCAAGUAGAACGCUGAAGGAGGAGCUUGCUUCUCCGGAUGAGUUGCGAACGGGUGAGUAACGCGUAGGUAACCUGCCUGGUAGUGGGGGAUAACUAUUGGAAACGAUAGCUAAUACCGCAUAAGAGUAGAUGUUGCAUGACAUUUGCUUAAAAGGUGCAAUUGCAUCACUACCAGAUGGACCUGCGUUGUAUUAGCUAGUUGGUGGGGUAACGGCUCCCCAAGGCGACGAUACAUAGCCGACCUGAGAGGGUGAUCGGCCACACUGGGACUGAGACACGGCCCAGACUCCUACGGGAGGCAGCAGUAGGGAAUCUUCGGCAAUGGACGGAAGUCUGACCGAGCAACGCCGCGUGAGUGAAGAAGGUUUUCGGAUCGUAAAGCUCUGUUGUAAGAGAAGAACGAGUGUGAGAGUGGAAAGUUCACACUGUGACGGUAUCUUACCAGAAAGGGACGGCUAACUACGUGCCAGCAGCCGCGGUAAUACCUAGGUCCCGAGCGUUGUCCGGAUUUAUUGGGCGUAAAGCGAGCGCAGGCGGUUAGAUAACUCUGAAAGUUAAAGGCUGUGGCUUAACCAUAGUACGCUUUUGGAAACUGUUUUAACUUGAGUGCUACGAGGGGAGAGUGGAAUUCCAUGUGUAGCGGUGAAAUGCUUAGAUAUAUGGAGGAACACCGGUGGCGAAUGCGUGUCUCUGGCUUGUAACUGACGCUGAGCUUCGAAAGCGUGGGGAGCAACAGGG